rnacentral:rRNA from 1 species
UACAGAGGGUGCGAGCGUUGUUCGGAAUUAUUGGGCGUAAAGGGCGCGUAGGCGGUGCCACAAGUCACUUGUGAAAUCCCCGGGCUUAACUCGGGGCCUGCAGGCGAAACUGUGGUGCUGGAGUGUGGGAGAGGUGCGUGGAAUUCCCGGUGUAGCGGUGAAAUGCGUAGAUAUUGGGAAGAACACCGGUGGCGAAGGCGGCGACCUGGUCCAUUACUGACGCUGAGGCGCGACAGCGUGGGGAGCAAACAGG